AGGACUUACUCCUACAGUGCGAUGAGAACAGGCUGAUCGGGUCCGGAGCUGACGUCAGAUACACUCCCUGAAAACGCUUAGGAACACCUGCGAUUUCCCUGACACUCCCAGAAAACGAUCACGCAUACCUGAAACCUUGUGACCAGUAAUCAAACAAUGCAAUAUCAUCAGCUGAUCGUCACUUGACUUCACCAUUUAGUAAACUGCAGGAAUAAAAAAAAGGAAAAAAAAAACACUCUGCUAAAGGACAGAUUGAACCUUUCAAAAGAAACCUCCUGCCAAAUACCACUCUCAUUCACAUUUCUUCCAGAGACUACUAGUAUGAGCAAGCUCAGCAAGGUGUAUUUCUUGCACAACUCACUACGAAACAAGUUCCCAAGUCACAUGCAGAACUGAAAGUCAUACCUCAACUAUUUAUUUAAUGAUAUUCAUUGCAAUUCAAUAAUAAUUAUCUUUCUCUCUCAUGGGUGCCGAGGAAAAAAUGCUGAUACUAUAGGGUGCCGUGAUUCAAGAAAGUUUGGGAACCACUGACUUAAGCCUAUUGGGAUACUUCAUCCAGGAUCAGAAAAUAGUAAAAAGAAAAAAAGGGAGGAGGAUGGAUGGAACAAAAUACAGACAUAUUUACUCUUCUGCAUUCAUUGGGGAAACCAAACAAAGAUGAAACAGGCAAUCUAUCGGUGAAUAUUCUGUAUCAGCAAACAUCUCUUACUCAUACCCUUUAAAUCUACUGGAUAAAUCAUUUAUC